rnacentral:lncRNA from 1 species
GGCCGUCUCAAAAGGGGUAAAUAAGGGGUAUAUGCCUCUCCUUUUUUUUUUUUUUUGCGUUUUAGGUGUUUUUUUUUAAUUUAAGGAAAUAGAUUGAUUUUUAGAGAGUGACCUAGUGGACACGCUUUCCAUUAAUGGUCAUUUUUUUUAAAGUUGACAACCAUAAAAUUUUUAAAAGGACCCAACGAUAAUUUAUUUCCUAUAAAUAUCAUGUCGCUUUCCAUUCUUUUCACUCAAAUUUAACUCUUUUAGUUCUUUCUAAACUCUCACCUAUUUCGGUUCUCUCAAGUUUUGUUCUAAAUUUUAU